UGUUUAAAGGCCGUUGCUA
rnacentral:misc_RNA from 1 species